UUUUUUUCUUUUUUUGGUUGUUGGCAGGUACAAGACAGCUCAUAGGAGAAGGGGAAAAAAAUUAAAAAAAUAAAAAAAAGCUCUGGGCAGCAGGCAGCCAAUCAAAACGCCAGAGCCUGUAAUGAGGGCGAUUGAUGGCUGUUUGGCUUUUACUGCAGGGUAAUGAACUAGAAUUCAGUCUGAGGAGGGGGAAAAAUAUGAAUAUUCAUGAGACUGUGCUCCUGCCUUUGAUGAUUAAAGAAAUUUUUAAUAUUCAAAUAAGCGCUUGCCAAGUGAUUAACAAAGAACAAGCACGCAGAAAUAUGGAAAUGGGAGCCGGGAAAGAUUUGAGAGGCGAAUGCACUGUGCAGCAAAGGCAGCGCCAAAUUUCAUAAACAAGAUAGGCAGAUAACCCAAUUCGCACGCGGGCAAAUAAAAAUAUUUCUUUCUGAUCACUUAAAUAUUUUGCCAGCUACUUUGUCUUAAGGAUGAUAGAAAAAAAUGCUAUGUAUUAAGAGGGUGAGGGGGAAAAGAAAGAACAUGAAGUCAAAUGCCUGGCUCGCAUUUAAAAAUCAUUAUCCUGAUCCUAGCUCAUCUUCUCCCACCCCAGCGGGAAAUUAGGAUUCUUUUUCCGGUUUGCUACAGAGGGAAGAUGGAGGAGAAGCCAGCACAGACUUGAAAACCCCAAUGCGUGAGAUUCAGGCCUGCCUGUUCUGGGUAGGCAUGAACUGUGGUCAUCUGGCACUUCCAGGCUGGUCCAGAGGGAACCCUGAUGUCUAGAGGGGAGGGGAUGUGACACUGGAGAGCUCAGGCCUCCUGGAGGCUCAGGCCCUGGUCUAAACACAAGGAGAAGAUGGUCUUCGGGAGAGCAGGGGCCACCUCUUGAGAAGCUGAAAGAGUGCAGACCUUCAGCCCAGGGCCUGGCCCGGGGAUCUUCAGAGCCGUAAGGAAAAGCCCCUCCACCCAUCCCAACAGUUCCAAGAGCCGUCUGCUAAGAGUGCACGCUCAUAUUUUAACAGCUCCACCAUGGGUUCACACUGAAGCACAUAAUAACAGUAUUAGCUGGUAAAAUGAUCCUGCAGUUAAAAUACAUCUAAUUAGCAGCCUAUGACAUCCAUUUUGGCAGUUUCCUAUUUGAAAGAAGUGGAGUGCUACCUUAAAUGAGACAGGUACUGGGCGUUCACCUGACAAGACCGGCCUUCUCAUCAUUUGUCUUUCUCUCAAUUCCCUUUUUUUUGGGGGGUUGUGGGGGGUGUAGAGGGGGAGUGGCUGAGACAGCAGGAAUAGAGAAGAACAAUUUUAGGGGAGCCUUCUUCGUCUGCUCACUUUCAGAGCUACACAGGUCUUUGGGGGUGGGGGCGACUCAAAAAAUAAAUUCCUUCACUCCACAGGUAUUAUUUCAUUUCUUUUUUUAGGUUUUUUUUGUUUUGUUUUUUGUUUUUGAGAUGGAGUCUCGCUCUGUCGCCCAGGCUGGAGUGCAGCUGCGCAAUCUCAGCUCACUGCAAGCUCCGCCUCCCAGGUUCACGCCAUUCUCCUGCCUCAGCCUCCAGAGUAGCUGGGACCACAGGCGCCCGCCACCUCACCUGGCUAAUGUUUUGUAUUUUUAGUAGAGACGGGGUUUCACCAUGUUAGCCAGGAUGGUCUCGAUCUCCUGACCUUGUGAUCCACCCAUCUCGGCCUCCCAAAGUUUUUUUUAACUUUUAAUUAUGAAGGUCUAGGAACCAGCAAUGACUGGAACUUGUUUUCCAUUUCAUUGUAAAUAUAUACCAACAAUCAUCAUCAUCAUAACGCAGAAAGGAAAGCCAAGCAUGUAAGUGAACACGCGGGUUACCAUGAAAAGCUGCAAGUCUAGGUUGGGUCCCCAAGGCAGGACCAGACAGGGACUGGGUGUGCCACAUGGCUCAGCUCACUGCCCCGGAGCAUUUGGGGGACCUAGAAAUGCCAGGCAGGGCGACAGGGAUCCCCAGGCCCCACCUCCCACUCCUGGAUUCUCAUUCUCCAUCAGACACCACUGUUUUGUCUGGGCACCCGAUGGCCAUUACAGAUCUCUAGUUCCUUGCUGCCAUGGGUUUUGGUUUGGGGGUGAACAUGUAGGUGUCCUUGGAAAGAAGAGCAACGAAAAGGGAAAAUCAGGUCUCACGAGGGUUUGCACAGCUGUGUUUAAAGAGUUCCUUCGGGGUCAUUACACAGGAGACAUAAAAACAGUUCGAACCUACGUUUGGCCUCUACGCGGGCAGAUGGCUGAAAGACAGCAGUCCUUGCAGGUGGCUGAGGACGGUAAGAAUUCAAAUGCAGGUGAAAGAGCCUGUCCAGCAUCCCUCAUCAACCAUCUAGGCCCUAAUGGACCCAAAGAGGGUCAUUGAUGGGUGCCAGGCUGUAAGAAGUGAGGUGGGCUCGCCAGGGGCCUCCAGGAACAUGGGCAACUUGCUCAUCUUUGGGCUUGAGACCACUUCUACCAUCACUUCCACAAAUGACCAUCCAGAGAUCCCCACAGGCCACCCACAACCCUGUGUGGCCACCAGGGUAUUGCUCUGCACCCACCGUGAGAAGGCUCAGCCGUGAGGGAGACUAGAAGCACACCUCGGGGAGCACCCUGAGCCAGGCUGCCCUACUCUAAACUCCUCCUCUUGGAGCACUUCCGAAAUCUCGUCCCAGAAAAUGGAGAGGCAGAGCAAAGGAGUGAUCGUGUCCCCCAAUGACACUACCGAAACCUUUCCCCUCCUUCCACCAGAGAUUGGAAAGGGAACAUCCUCCCCAGUAGCUGCCUCUUGCAAUUUAGAAGCAGGCACGCUUGGGCACACCCCUUCCCCAGGUCCGAAAGCACCUGUGUCAUUGACUGCCAACUCCAGUUUCCUCAAGACGCAGGCCGCUGAAAUACUCCAGGGCUGCCAAUCCCCUUUCUGCACCCUGACCCAAGGACUGGUGAGCUUACAUCACAAAUUCCAGCACCAAGGCCCCUGUGAGGGAGCAGAGGACACUUCAGAUGUUGCUGGGGAGGAAGGGCAUCCCUCAGCCAUCUUCUGUGAACCAGGGAGGUGGAGGGGGCUGGCCGUUCCAGCCCCUAAGUGGGCAUCUGCAGGGGGUAGGGGGGCAUGGUGAGGGACACGCAGCUUGGACUCUUCUUUUGCUUGUCUCUCGGGGAAAAUCCUGCCAUGCUCCUAACUACUGAAAUGCAAAUAAACCACAACCACUUGUCCUCCAGCCGGGAUGCUCAUCAUUCCUUUGCUCCUAUGCAUCACGGCUUCAGGACACAGAUACAAAAAUGAAUAUAACUCCUCCGGAUGACCUCAGGCAGGCAGGGUCCACCAAAUUGGGGCCCACCAUCCGGGAAUGGGCAGACCUGAGGACAACAGAAGGUGAAGCCAUGUGUCGCACUGGUAAGAAAAAUGUGUGUAUGCACAUCUAUUACCUAUAAGAGAGGUUCUAUAUACACAUACAUAUGCACAUACACACACACACACUCAUCUAUCAGCAAUGUGCACAUGUUAAGAUGUCUUGAGUGCAUCCAGCCAGAGUCCAUAGACGCCAAGGACAAACUGCAACUGAGAGAUUCUCUAAAUCUCACCGGCAACAUCAGCCAGUCAAUACCUAACAGAGGAAUUGCCCCUUUUCCUCCCAAUUUAGGUAUUCUUAUCAGAGAUGUGGUAGCUGCUUCAACCUUCAGCAGUCUCUGCUUUCUAAGACAAUUUAAUUCAAGAUCCUUCAGUAAUUUUCUCUCUGGUUGCGUCCAGAGCCACAAACAGUAUCCUACAUGUCAUGUGCAAGAAGCAUAACUCGAUGAGGAGUGAGGGCAGGCUGCAAACCAAAGUAAAGUUGUUAGAUAAAUCAUUUGGAUUCCAAGCAUAAAGAAUGUAGGACUUAGGGUUGGGACCCUGUAGCCCUUUCCCAGACAGAACUUAGGGGCCAGACUCCAAUGACAAGCUUGGCCGGGCAUCCCUCAGAUACGUUCCUAUUUCUUCAUUAAUUUAGAGCUGGGGGUGGGAGUGGAAAUACACAGUUAAGAUAGAAGUCACAUGUCACACAAGGCAAAAACCAGGAAACUCAUCUUCAGAUUGGGUGCCUAUAGUGAGUUUUAAAAUAAGGACACCUUUUUCUAUCCCCUCGGCAUCCACUGUGCCUGACCUUUGAGGAAUGACCUGGAAAACACUGAAUCCUGACGCGUGUUAAGAAUGUGGCCCUCUAUAAAACAUGUUUACAAACUGGGGAGUUCAGGAAGUUGUGGUUCCAAGGUCCCACAAACUCCAGUGCUGGCUUUUGCUCAAUGGCCAUGCGCAGACAGUGCAAUGGAAUAAACAGGAGGAGGAAGGCUAAGCUGCGAGAAUCCCGGAGAAUUAAGAAUGAAAAUAAACAGCACAGCCAAUAAAAAGAACAUAAAGAAAACGGAGUGCCCAGCAAGGAGGUUAUUGGGAUGACUCAAGCCCAAAGCAGCCAAAAAAGGGAGCAGAAAUUUCAGGUGCAGAUGGAGUCAUGGAUAAAGAUCGACCUUAUCAGACCAUCCCGACAGAACAGACAAUCACAGAGACAGAUGGAACUCUUUUAGGUUAAAAAGAAAGAAAGAAGGAAAGAAGGAAAGAAGGAAAGAAGGAAGGAAAGAAGGAAAAGAAAGAAAGAAAGAAAGAAAGAAAGAAAGAAAUCUUAGGAACCGUUUAUCACAUUUUGUUUUGGGUUGCAUUUAAUAGAAUUAUAGACAAUUGAUUUCUACUAUUGUAAUAAAAAAAAAUCCAGCUCUCCCCUGGGUUUUGUUGAUGAUUAAAUCUCUUUUUUCCCUUUCAUGUCUUUUUCCCUUUUCCUAAUGGACUUACAGAAUACUGAGGCUCAGUGCUUUGCAUUACAUAAGAACAAAAUCUUUCUAUGGCCUCUUUAUGUUCCUAAGCCAAGUCUGAAAUGUCACUGACUAAAAAAUUGAACAGGCCUGUAAUUACUUUCAACAAAGUAGUUCCUUUAACUGCGUUUUCUGUAGGUAGAUGGCAUUUAAUAUACAUAUUGUAAGCCUUCUUUUCAGCACAGGUAACAUUUGAUGACAAAAAUCACAAAUUUUCCUCUAAGGGAGCAGUCUGACAGCCACCUCCUUACUUAUUUUUUGACGUGAAAUCUGUUUUCAUCUCCUAACACACUAGCGGUGACGUGCAGUGUGUGCACAACAAAAUUUGUAAAAAUUAACACUUCACGGGAUUAAUUUAAUAAAGAUUGUUAGCACAUUAACACUAGUAACAUUGCUCCUUCCGAUUCAUCCAGCCACGCUCAAGACGCCGCUGUAACAGAGGUUUACAUUCAGCUGAGGUUUAUACCGCUAUUUAAUGUAAUUAAAGAAACCGGCAGCGCAGUCCUCAAUGGAAAUAUCAUUUCUAUUGCAGAGUAUUCCCAUUAGAAAUUGGGGGAAAUCAUAGCACGCUGACUUUGAUUUUGUUGUAAUUUUAUUUUUCCUCGGCUGUCUUUGAAACAGAGCUGAUGUGCUGGACCUCAGACAGAAUUUACUGCAGAAACUCUGCAAAGAUUCCGCCAUAAGACAAGCCUCUUCUCCCUACAGGAGUGCCCAGUAUUUAUAUGCCACUUACUUGGUUUUGAAACUGUGUUUUUAUUGUUUUUUUAAAAUCUACAGCCUCUGUUAGGCUGUAAUUAUCCAGGAAGUUCUCCGCCCAGCACCCCAUCAUGAAAUAUACCCCAAAACAACAUCGUAGGUAAGAGCCCAGAGGCGGGGAGGCCUCCGGGGCCACUCUCACACAUAAGCAAUCAUAGUGUAGCUAGGAUCCCAACGAGCUCCAAUUCCUGAUCGGGGCGAGAAUCUAGCUGUAAUCUCAGAGGAAGAAGGCAGCAAGCAUCACUCAGGAGGCCUCAGAGACUAAACAGACACAAAACCCAAAAGAAAAAGAAAAAAAAAAAAUCUUCGCACCACAUCACCAAAAUGGCAGAGAAAAUUAAGUCUUGGGGCUGAGACGAAGGGAACCUGACUCAGCUCCUCCGCCUCUGACAGCUGCCUCCUGCCCUUGGAGCGGCCAAAUGCAAACAAAAAUGAGACCUUUCUUCUCUAAACCUGCUGUCCCUGUGCGGCAGGGGUGACCACGUCGCUUUUUUCCCCUUCCCUAAGUGCAUUUUAAUAUCCUUAUUCUACAUCCUAAUUUCUUUGAAAAAAACAUCGGUGUCACUAAAAAAACGUCACUCUGUUUUGCAAAAUCCAGCAGCUUCCUUGGCAGCGAGAAAGGCUGGCUGGCAUUAUCCCCUCAUUUGACAAAACUACUAUUUCUGGGCAUGUGCUCAAAAGCAGGUAGGAAGCAAAUGCUGAGAAAUAAGGAAGUAAAAACAGCCAACAGAUUUUUCACUACCGAGAACGCCAAGCGUAAACAUGAUUUAUUUAGCUGUGUUUAACGUGUCUGUCCUCCACUCGACUACAAGCCCACUUGGGUUUAAGGAAAGGGUGGGUAGAAGGGGACAGGAAAAGGGGAGCGGGGAGGACAUCGGGGGAGAGGGAGCAGGCGCGCGCGGCGCUGAAGGGAGACUUCCUGAGCGGUUGGGUUCAGAGCUUUAGGAGAACAAGAAUCCUCUACCCCAAAAUACAUGCGUGUGUCAAAAGAAGGCAGCACUAAUCUGCUGGUUAAUUAACGAGCUGCCACUAACAAAAGAUGGAAGACCCAGUUCAUACAGACAGUAUUUACGUGGGCGUUGCGUGAUCUUGUCCCCCUGCUUCCCUACCUUUUCUCGCAAACCAUGUGGGCUGGGUACAGCGACGGGCGGAGAGGCCCGUCAGGUUGGGUUAAGAGUCCAGCCGUGGAGAGGGGAAUAUCACUACCUUCCUUGCCCAGCCUUGCAUGCCCACGUGGAAUUUACUUAGAUCUGUAUUCAAUUAAGAAGCACCAGACAGUUCCUGGCUCUAAGCCUGCACCAUCGCAGACUCCGGGUAUCUGCCGUUCCUCACUCCAGACCCACUGCCAGUGAACAGGGGCUGGGUCAAGGCCCCCAUGGAGAAAGGAGAGGGCCACACCCUCCCAUCCCUACCCCACAACUCCCUCCCGAAGUCUUGGCCCAGCCAGGGUGAACAAACCAAAUACAUAAAGAAAGCUUCUGUAUUUCCUAACUAACAAGACUAAUCCAGAGGUUUUGGGCCCUGCCAGAGGUUAUUUUAUUAAAAAUCUAAUUCAAGUCAUCCAGCUUUAGCUGGGAAAAAGAAACCAGGCCUCUUCCAAAGAAAAGCAACAACCAAAAAGUAAAAUGGAGCCCCAACAGGACACUUAGGCCCUCUGGCUUCCCUAGUGAAGGUACCAUUUCAUAGCAGCUAGCUACAUGCUCCAUGGGGAUGAGCACCAAUUUUUGUGAGCUCUGAGAGGCAGUGAGAAUUUCCUCACCGGUCCACUUUGAGUUCCUUCCUCACCGGCACCUAGCAAGACUGUGCAUUUAAAGACUGCUUGCUGUAUGCAUUCCUCCCCAAUCCAAGUCCGUAUGUCCCCCGUCCAGCAACUCUCCUUCUGGGGCCUGAGACCAAAUAUCAGGAAAAACACCUUUUCUGGUGUAUUCGGGUUAAGGUCAACAGUGACACUAUUCAGUGUCAAGAUUCUGAAUCACGUGACAAUCCCAACAAUAACAAGGAGCUGGGGUGGGGGAACAGUCCUCUAAAAUGAAUAGGGAAGGGGGGAGUUUCCUAUUGGUAUUCGGUUACUAAAUUGAAAACCCAAGCACCCCCCUCCCCACAUAAACCUCCUCCCAAAGCCCCUAAUUCUUCCUCCUUGCAGUAAAAAAUUACACCCUCUACAAGUAGCUAUUUGAUUCCUUUCCCUUUUGCAAAUCAGUCACCCUGCCCCCAUGGACUGAACAAUAACAGUUCUCCAUUUUUAUGAUGUCUUUGAAAUCAGCAAUUGCUUCACUCCUACCUACGGGUUUGUUUUCAUAUCUGAACAGGGACAGGGAAGUAAACAAUUGGCUAGCCCCAUUUUAUAGAUGAAGAAACUAACAAGAUGAACUGGUUUGCCCUGGGCUGUUUAGGAAGUAAAUGCAUUUGAGACUGCCCCACACCACAGGCCAACCUCUAGAUUCUGCUGCUUUAGCAGGGAGACGGCCCCUGAUGCUCCAGCAACAACAAAUAUUAUUGAACCUCUAAGCAGGACUCAGGUGCCACUCCGGAAGCCACCCUUGUAGGAAAUCCUAUACGAAAAUCCAGAUUUCUCAAAGCAAUAAAAUUGAAGAUGCUUAACACAGCACCUCCGAAGGAGGCUUCUCCAGGAUCCCUUUGGCUACCAAUUACACUGGUAUUUCAAGAUGAUCCAGCUGACAGAACCCCCCAUUUCCAGGCAAAUCUUCCACACAUUGCUCCUAAAAAAAAAAAAAAAAAAAAAAA
ensembl:lncRNA